UUCUGAGACAAAGUGACGUUAGAAAGACUUCUGAAAAACAUACAACUAGUCUGAUUUAACCUGAGUACUGUCAUGUUUCCUAGGAUUUGCAAGCCACACGAAGAAUUCUCCUAUCAUUGAUUUAGAGCUUUUGUCACCUGUGCUUUUGGUGUCUUAUCCAAGGAAUCAUUACCAAGACCAAUGUCAAGAGCUUCUUCCCUGAUUUUGUCUAUAAUUUUUAUGAUUUCAGGUCUUACAUAUCACCUACCUCUUCCUGUCCAAACACCGUGGCCAAAGCAAUCACAUGUGAGAACUGAAUAACUGACGGCCCCAAGUAAAACCCCAGUAUUGUUACCAAAAG